UGCUAUUUUACUCCAGACUAUGAAAAUCAUUCAUAGUUAAAUAUGAUUGACACUUCUGUAGUGGAGUAGCACAU
rnacentral:miRNA from 1 species